UAUAAGAGGAGUUCUGUACAGAAAUAAUUAAAUAAUUACAUCAUAUGAGGAAACGAUCCAGCAACCCAAAGUUGACUGGGAGACGACGGCCUAGACCUCUCACGAACUCAUCGCAACAUCCUCCAUGAGCAUCAUCCUGCAGUACCUGGUCUUGACCUGAGGUGUAUGUGAGACAGCAAGAGUGAGCUCACAUACGUUCAUCGCUCAACAAGUUGUGGGGAAUAAUGUGCAUGAACUCGCCAAAGGUGGGAGCUCACGUGAAGUGUAAGGCUUACCAAAGAAAAUGGUUAGAGCUGAGCAUUGCUUUUAAAGUUGGUCAAAAUUUUAUUAGCAGUUACUAAGUAUAAGUGAAUACCAAUCCCAAUUAAGUAGUAGAACAAAAAUAACAACUUCACCCGCGAUGCAAUGCAUAUGACAAAUUGAAUUUAGUUCCAUAAUUUAAUCAUCAGAGAGUCCUGAGCUGCUCAUGACCGUGAGCUCGGCUAGUAUACCAGUUUUACACUCUGCAGAGGUGGUACCCUUUACCCACAAGUCAUGUUACCCAUCUGCCAAGAGAUCGCGACUUCCCAUACACCUCUACCGAGGAGGCGAGGCAGGGUAACACUACGAGGCCUUUACAAAGUUCCACUAGCUUCAGAAAACCCGCUACAGUUUAUAGGAAGCUCCAAUGCAGGAAUCCCUUGCAGGACCGCCAUCACAGCAAAAUCCUCCCGAGGGCCUCCCCAGGAAUCCCUUGCAGGACCGCCAUCACAGCAAAAUCCUCCCGAGGGCCUUCCCAGGAAUCCCUUGCAGGACCGCCAUCACAGCAAAAUCCUCCCGAGGGCCUCCCUACACUGACCACUCCCCUACUGCCCUUGCCCCUUUCGGGUAAGGUAGUCCUCCACUAGCUUUCCUAAUUAGUCAGCCAAGGGCGUCCCAUUAAACCCUUGUGGUGGCACGUGGUUCUCAAGUUAAGCUCUAUGUUCCAAUUAACAUUUAAUGAUCUUGUCAUGAACAUAAAUAGAAUAACAACAUAAUUGGAACAUAGAUGCAAUGAAAUAUUAACCCAAAACCAUAUAAAGCAGUAGCAGAACUACCCAAGUGAUUGAGGGGUAAACAAGGUAUUCAGGAUGAACAAACUAGGGUGACCUAUUGGGUCCCAUCAAAAUUAACCUAUGCAGAUCAUUAUGAUUAAUCAGAACAUGAGUGGGUAAAAGAAGUGAUCAAGGGCACAACUUGCCUGAGACUUGAGAUUCCAGGUACCAGGAUGAUCUUCAGGUGACUCGUGACCUCGCGCUAGUCGUAGCAAUACAGACAAACAUGGUAUAUGCAAAAUUAACAUAACACCAAACAUAAGAACAAACUGAAUAAUAAUGACCUACGCGUUGCUACGAGACUAACGCAGCUGGAACGAGUCAAAUCGGAUUUAAAACGGGGGAAUUAUGUAUUUUGCACAAUAUUAAGUAGGAUAUAAAUUUUAAUGUGACUUUCAUGUGAAAACAGUGACACUAGGUGAUAAACAACAUUAUUACAAAAUUAUAGGAAUUAGAAUGGAUCAAUUUGGGCUCAAUAUGAAUUUUCUAUGAAUUUUAUAAGUUCUAGCCAUUAUUUUCCUAUUAAAAAUCCCUUUUCCAAUUUAUUUACUCAAUUUCACACAGCUCUGGAUCGGGCCUCAUUAUCUGGAAAACACAGGGGUCUCGGGGUAAGUUUUCCUGAGACACAGAAAACAAUUCUACGGACCGCGGGUUGAUUACUAUAGAACAGAGGGGCCUAAUAGCUAAACCGUCCAGCCGAAGGGGUACGGGCGGACGCUGACCGUCCGAUCACAAACCGACGCGCAAGAUUAGAUUAUCGCGUUAUAAAACAGAUAAUCCGCCCCGAUCGUCCGAUCCAGAAUCAACGGACGAAGGUCGAUCCUACCCCGAUCUAAUCUAACCCGCCCACCAUGAAUCCUACGGACACGGUUUACUUGAGCAAAGGUUACCCUAUCCUCUAAUCUCGAUCGUCAGCGCCGGAUCCAACGGACCACGGAGUUCUUCUUCCCCACGGCGGAUGAAUACGGCCGCGCCCACCUCGCACGGCGGCGGUCCCGCCGGGGACUCCCAUAUCGCGCACCCGAACCCAAAAACGGCCACGGUCGGCCCAAAGCGUAGCAGGGAAAGAGGCGAAUUCGUUGGAGGUUCUUACCAAGCGUUCGGUGUGGCCGAGAACUCUGGCCACGACAAGGUGCUACCCGGCGGCGCCGAGACCCCGGUGGGAAAUUCCUGGCACCCAGGUCGCAAGCCCAGUCGGUAGAAGCCCCAACCCGUUUGGCGUGUCCAAUCGAAGCGACAGGCAAGGACGAUUCUGAGGUACCGGGCACGGCGCGACGACAACCCCUCCAAGCGGCGCUCCAAAGCUCCCGAUUCCACCCUGCUUGCUUGUCGCCAGCGAGGUCACGAACGAAGCGCCGAUGAUGCGGAUCCAGGGUAACGGGCUUAGUUUUAUAGUGCUACGGCGGAGUCCGACCGGUGAGGUCCUGCGGAUUAAGCGCGGUUCGGUGCAACGACCCGCGAGCUCCGCUUCAGGGAGGAAGAACGGCGAGCUGCGCGGCAACCACGCGGGUUGUUACGCGUUGGAGCCGGGAAGAAGCACAGUAGACCAGAGGUCUCCACGUGCGGGCCCGAUCGGUCACAGUCACAAGCACGCGCACAGGCAAGUGGCUGGCGGCGCUAGGGUAAGGCACGACAAUGGGCCAGCGCAGGGAGAAAAAUGGAGAUGGGCCAGCGCGAGGAGAAUUCGGCCCAAACGGCGAUUUUCUUUUUUUUUUCCUUUUAUUUUCUGUUUCCAUUUCCUUUUCCUUUAUUUUUUUUUCAUAUUUGAAUUCUUAAAUUUGAAUCCAAAUUUGAUUGCAAACUUUGAAUUUGAACUAGAUGUACUAGUCCAAGAUGUUGAUAUGAAAUGUCACGUUUAUUUAUAUAUUUUCCUUACAUUGUAUAUAGGGCUUUUCCUAUUUUCCUCUUCACCUUCUAUAUCUUAUUUCUCAAAUUAUUGGUUCCCAAAAUUAGGUUUAAUGUCUCUUCCACCAUUUGCAUAUUUCUUUUAUCAUUAUCUUCAUGAGUGAAUGCACAAACAAAUAAAUCACAGCAUGAUGCACAAAUUACUUUAAGUGUCACUAAUUAAUUAAUGACUUUUGAGGUGUUGGUUCACAUGUUACAAUAAACAUAGGCAAAAUCAUGUAUGUAACUCAACUAUGCUUUCAUCUUACAUUUUGGGUAUUACAAAUCCUACCCCCCUUAACAGAAAUCUCGUCCCCGAGAUUUGUAAGAAAAGGGAAUACAAUAGGUUUGGUUUAGAAUUUUAGUUUCUCAUUGGGUUUUGGAAAUCAAAGUUUUGUUCAAGUUUUUUUUUUCAUAACAGUUAGUAGACGAUUUAGAAUAUAUGGAUAUUGUAUGUCUACCCAUCUAUUAGGUCAGAUGAGGUACGAUUAUGGCAAGUAGGUGUUGUGGCAAGGGUAUAAUAAGGAAAGACUUCAUCCUAAACUACGGAUCUUGAUUCCGCUGGCGAUUCAACUUGAUCUUUGAAGUCUUGAGUUGAUGCUUAUCCUUUUUUGACAUGGUUGGUCUUCUUUGGCCUUUAUUUCUUGGAGUUGUCAUCCGAGUUAAGGACAUAUGGCUAGGACAUAUGUGAGUAGGAUGGAUUGUAUGGUGUAGGUAGGUUAGAAUCUCUUGCUAGGUUAAAAUUGUGGGGUUAUGCAACUAUUGGAUGGUUAAGGUAGUUGCAUAUGGCCAAGUCGAUCUGUCACUCUUAAUUUAGUGCAGGGUGAACUAAGUUAAGACUCGUUCUAUAGGAGUAGAGUCUAAUCUAUUUCAUUAGUAUUAUCUAACAUGUUUGAUAAGUCACUUUAGAUUAGAUCAGAUCUAGGUUAGAUUGGUGUGACUAGUUUGACUAGAUAAGAUCUUAUUUAUUUUAGGCUAGAUCAUGGUUGUUACACUAGCGUGGGAUAAAUAUGCUUAUUGGGGUAAGAUGAAUCCAUAAGGAUAAGGUAGAAUCUUUUGAGGUCAGAUAGAUCUAUUAGGAUAGGAUAAAUCUUUUCAAGAUAAGACGAGAAUCUAUUUUUUUUAGGAUAAGAUGGAUCUAUGAGUGUAGGAUAGACUUUUUCAAGAUAAGAUGGAUUUUGCUAGGCUAGAUUCUUUGAUGAGGGAUAACCUAGUUCAUUUAGAUAUUUUUAUAACCGUUUUUUUUCUAUAUGUAUAUGCAGAUGUGAUUGUGGACAUUACUCCACAACUAAUCACACUCAAUCAAAGAUUCAAACAAGUAUCAUAAGAACAAACAUUCAAGCAUACAAAUACCUUAAAAAUAGUUUUGUUUUUGUUCCUAAGAGUAGGUCUCCUAUUCCUAAAGUCACUUUAGGCACAGGAUUUCAAAGUGUGAAAUCCACAUUUGUCUUUUAGAAAGAAAAGAUAAGAAUAAUCAGAGUAAAGCGGAAAUAGAUGUGAAAAGAUUAAGAAAAGUUUAGAAAGAAUCAGAGUAGCAAAGGUAAGUAGAUAAUGGUUGUCCAGUUCUAUCUAGGUUUCGUCCUACAGUCAACAUUGCUCUGAUACCACUUCUGUCACACCCGGAUUUUAGGGGUCAAAAACCCGGGCGCGAACAUAAACACCAGGUGUGCUGGGACCAAGUCUCACACAUAUGAUGCAUAGUGGCACAGGAUCGAAUGUCACAUCUUUACUAUAUAAGAGGAGUUCUGUACAGAAAUAAUUAAAUAAUUACAUCAUAUAAGGAAACGAUCCAGCAACCCAAAGUUGACUGGGAGACGACGGCCUAGACCUCUCACGAACUCAUCGCAACAUCCUCCAUGAGCAUCAUCCUGCAGUACCUGGUCUUGACCUGAGGUGUAUGUGAGACAGCAAGAGUGAGCUCACAUACGUUCAUCGCUCAACAAGUUGUGGGGAAUAAUGUGCAUGAACUCGCCAAAGGUGGGAGCUCACGUGAAGUGUAAGGCUUACCAAAGAAAAUGGUUAGAGCUGAGCAUUGCUUUUAAAGUUGGUCAAAAUUUUAUUAGCAGUUACUAAGUAUAAGUGAAUAUCAAUCCCAAUUAAGUAGUAGAACAAAAAUAACAACUUCACCCGCGAUGCAAUGCAUAUGACAAAUUGAAUUUAGUUCCAUAAUUUAAUCAUCAGAGAGUCCUGAGCUGCUCAUGACCGUGAGCUCGGCUAGUAUACCAGUUUUACACUCUGCAGAGGUGGUACCCUUUACCCACAAGUCAUGUUACCCAUCUGCCAAGAGAUCGCGACUUCCCAUACACCUCUACCGAGGAGGCGAGGCAGGGUAACACUACGAGGCCUUUACAAAGUUCCACUAGCUUCAGAAAACCCGCUACAGUUUAUAGGAAGCUCCAAUGCAGGAAUCCCUUGCAGGACCGCCAUCACAGCAAAAUCCUCCCGAGGGCCUCCCCAGGAAUCCCUUGCAGGACCGCCAUCACAGCAAAAUCCUCCCGAGGGCCUUCCCAGGAAUCCCUUGCAGGACCGCCAUCACAGCAAAAUCCUCCCGAGGGCCUCCCUACACUGACCACUCCCCUACUGCCCUUGCCCCUUUCGGGUAAGGUAGUCCUCCACUAGCUUUCCUAAUUAGUCAGCCAAGGGCGUCCCAUUAAACCCUUGUGGUGGCACGUGGUUCUCAAGUUAAGCUCUAUGUUCCAAUUAACAUUUAAUGAUCUUGUCAUGAACAUAAAUAGAAUAACAACAUAAUUGGAACAUAGAUGCAAUGAAAUAUUAACCCAAAACCAUAUAAAGCAGUAGCAGAACUACCCAAGUGAUUGAGGGGUAAACAAGGUAUUCAGGAUGAACAAACUAGGGUGACCUAUUGGGUCCCAUCAAAAUUAACCUAUGCAGAUCAUUAUGAUUAAUCAGAACAUGAGUGGGUAAAAGAAGUGAUCAAGGGCACAACUUGCCUGAGACUUGAGAUUCCAGGUACCAGGAUGAUCUUCAGGUGACUCGUGACCUCGCGCUAGUCGUAGCAAUACAGACAAACAUGGUACAUGCAAAAUUAACAUAACACCAAACAUAAGAACAAACUGAAUAAUAAUGACCUACGCGUUGCUACGAGACUAACGCAGCUGGAACGAGUCAAAUCGGAUUUAAAACGGGGGAAUUAUGUAUUUUGCACAAUAUUAAGUAGGAUAUAAAUUUUAAUGUGACUUUCAUGUGAAAACAGUGACACUAGGUGAUAAACAACAUUAUUACAAAAUUAUAGGAAUUAGAAUGGAUC
rnacentral:lncRNA from 1 species